rnacentral:lncRNA from 1 species
AUGGCUUGUGGGACCAUUGAUGGCAAGAAGAGUGCCAGGGUUCCUCAUGUACAGGACGACUCUUUCUUGGACUCGUUCUCCCACCUUGGGCUUAAGGCAGGCAGCCAAGCCACCACAGUGAUUGGCAUAGACCAAGCUGCUCCACCCAGAGGCACCCAGCUCAACGGAGACCUUGGUAACCCAGGCAUCAGAAAGGAGAAGGUAUAGGAAAGCUGAGGUUGGCAGGAAUGAGCUUCUGCUAGAAAUGUAAUGGCGAAAGAGAAGGGAGAAAAGCUGAAGAGAAGAUUAAAUUGAGAAAUCUGAGGUUAGGAGAGGAGGAUGGACUAAAAAUUGGGGAGGGGAAAGGGUUGCUAAGAGACAAAACUAUGGAUAAAGAGAAAGAAGAAAGUUGAUUUCCUAUAAUGAAGGGUUCAGAGAAGGAAUAGAAAGUAUGUUACAAGAGGCAGCUAGGCGCCUCAGUGGAUAGAGAGCCAAGCUUGGAGACUGCAGGUCCUGGGUUCAAAUUUGACCUCAGAAACUUCCUUGCUGUGUGACCCUGGGCAAGUCAUUUAAUCCCAAUUGCUUAGCCCUUACUGAUCUUCUUGAAGGGAAAUGAUAUCAGUUCUAAGACAGAAGGAAGGAAGGAAGGAAGGAAGGAAGGAAGAGCUAGUUAGCUAUAGGGCAAUACCAUAAACACAAGGCUGAGAUGAUGAAGCAAAGGAGAUCCAGGAGGAAAGUGUUAGAGAAAUGUGAAGAGAGAACACUUAAUAGGGUGGGGAAAUCAGGGAAGGAUUUAAGAAAGAGGUAGCAUCUGAAGUGAGCCCUAAAUUACCCCAAACCCUCAGACCUCGAUCUUUUGGAUUUAUAAUAUAAUUUA